UGGAGCAUGUGGUUUAAUUCGAAGCAACGCGAAGAACCUUACCAGGCCUUGACAUGCAGAGAACUUUCCAGAGAUGGAUUGGUGCCUUCGGGAACUCUGACACAGGUGCUGCAUGGCUGCCGUCAGCUCGUGUCGUGAGAUGUUGGGUUAAGUCCGUAACGAGCGCAACCCUUGUCCUUAGUUACCAGCACGUUAUGGUGGGCACUCUAAGGAGACUGCCGGUGACAAACCGGAGGAAGGUGGGGAUGACGUCAAGUCAUCAUGGCCCUUACGGCCUGGGCUACACACGUGCUACAAUGGUCGGUACAAAGGGUUGCCAAGCCGCGAGGUGGAGCUAAUCCCAUAAAACCGAUCGUAGUCCGGAUCGCAGUCUGCAACUCGACUGCGUGAAGUCGGAAUCGCUAGUAAUCGUGAAUCAGAAUGUCACGGUGAAUACGUUCCCGGGCCUU
rnacentral:rRNA from 1 species